ACUGAAUUUGUGAGAAAAAAUUAGAAAAUAGUUAAAAAUAAAAAAAUUGGAAAAUAGUCAGAAGUUUUUAAAAAUAUGAAAAUUGGAAAAUAGUUAAUAAAAAUCGGUGAGGUAACACUCAACCAAGCAAUACUAAAAAAAAUUAUAUGCAUUAGCGUAACAAAAAACAGACAGACGGACAUAAAAUAUUACUUUAAACGUUAAUGUGUGUGUGUAUAUAUUCGCGAGGUUGAAGAAAGGAAAUAAAAAUAUUUGGUAUCAUUAAAUGACAGUGUGAAUAAAAAUAUUUGUGAGGUUGUGAUGAUUAAACAAUAUUGAAAUUAAAUAUAUAAGUGAUAAAAAAAUAAUAAAAAUCUUUUGAAAAAAAGAUAAUAAAAUUAAAUGGAACUGUUCAAAAAAAUAAAAUAAAAUAAAGUUAAAUGAAAAGAAAAUAUAUUGAAUAAAAUAUUAAAAAAUAAAAGAAAAGGUUCCCAGCGUGAGUUGAAAAGAGGUGCUUGUGAAAUAUAUUGUCGAGAAGUAGUUUUUUAGCAUUCAACAACUUUUGGCCAAAGCUCAUUCCAUUCAAUUAUAUGCAUUAAAAAAUGUUCCCUUUCUAGUAAGUACUUAAUUGAUAUUGUGUUUGAUCUAACUUCUUUUUAAAAAUGUAGAGAAGUAAAAAAAAAACCCGAGUCAAACGGUAUCUUAAUCUCCCACAAUGGCAAUGUAGAAGCAACUGAAUUUGGGAGAAAAAAUUGGAAAAUAGUUAAAAGUAUUUAAAAAUAUAAAAAUUGAAAAAUAGUUAAAAAAAAUCGGUGAGGUAGCACUCAACCAAGCAACACUAAAAAAAAUUAUAUGCAUCAGCGUAACAAAAACACAAACAGACAGACAUAAAAUAUUACUCUAAACGUUAAUGUGUGUGUGUAAAUAUUUGCGAGGUUGAAGAAAGGAAAUAAUAGUAUUUGGUAUCAUUAAAAGACAGUGUGAA
rnacentral:lncRNA from 1 species